rnacentral:pre_miRNA from 1 species
GAUUUCAAUUGAAAAAGUCAUCAACAACAAAGUUGAAUAACUCAUCAAGAUCUAAAACUUUUAUUUUUAUUAUUUCUUCAUCCAACAAAAUGUUAGUAACAUUAUUCACAAAUUUUACAUAUAUGUGUUAUAGUUUAUAAACCAGAUAAGAGAUAUGUCAAUUUUGUGAACAAUGUUACUAUCACUUUGUUGUAUGAACAAAUGACCAAAAUAAAAGUUUUAGAUCUUGAUAAGUUAUUCAACUUUGUUGUUGAUGACUUUUUCAGUUGAUAUC